rnacentral:rRNA from 1 species
CUUCGGAGUGACGGAGUUUUAGUUAGUGGCGGACGGGUGAGUAACGCGUGAGUAACCUGCCUCUGAGAGGGGAAUAACGUUCUGAAAAGAACGCUAAUACCGCAUAACAUAUAUUUGCCGCAUGACAGAUAUAUCAAAGAUUUUAUCGCUCAGAGAUGGACUCGCGUCCGAUUAGUUAGUUGGUGAGGUAACGGCUCACCAAGACCGCGAUCGGUAGCCGGACUGAGAGGUUGAUCGGCCACAUUGGGACUGAGACACGGCCCAGACUCCUACGGGAGGCAGCAGUGGGGGAUAUUGCGCAAUGGGGGCAAACCCCUGACGCAGCAACGCCGCGUGAAGGACGAAGGUCUUCGGAUUGUAAACUUCUUUUGUCAGGGACGAAAUUUGACGGUACCUGACGAAUAAGCUCCGGCUAACUACGUGCCAGCCGCCGC